rnacentral:sRNA from 1 species
CUCCAUUGAAGAGCUGGAGGACCUUUACAUGGUGUUUAAGGCCAAGCACCUGGCUAGCCAGUACUGGGGGUGCAGCCGCACAAUGGCCGGCCGUCGGGACCCCAGCCUGCCCUACCUGGAGCAGUACCGGAUUGAUGCCAGCCAGUUCCGGGAACUCUUUGCCAGCCUGACACCCUGGGCCUGCGGCUCCCACACGCCUGUGCUGGCAGGGCGCAUGUUCAGGCUCCUGGACAAAAACAAGGACUCGCUGAUCAACUUCAAGGAGUUCGUGACGGGGAUGAGCGGGAUGUACCACGGGGACCUGACAGAGAAGCUCAAGGUGCUCUACAAGCUACACCUUCCCCCAGCUCUGAGCCCAGAGGAAGCCGAGUCAGCCCUGGAGGCGGCCCAUUAUUUCACAGAGGACAGCUCCUCAGAAGGAAGCCUGGAAGCUCUUUGUCCCAGGGACCCCUCUGGGACUUCAUCCUCUGGGGCAUAAGUUCUGAGAAGGACCCAGAACCAAGCCACUCCUCUGCACCGCCUCCGUGUCUGCUGUGGGUGGGCAGUAAAUAAGGCCCCCCACA